rnacentral:rRNA from 1 species
AUGCUUAAAGCUGGACUAAUCGUGCCUAGUACCAGUCCGUUCUCCUCGCCUGUUCUGUUAGUGAAAAAGAAAGAUAUGACAUGGCGCCUCUGCGUGGACUAUCGUCACCUGAAUGCAAUUACACUAAAAAGCACCUAUCCAUUGCCAGUCAUUGACGAGCUGCUCGAUGAGCUUGCAGGAUCGUGUUGGUUCUCAAAGAUGGAUCUACGAGCGGGCUACCACCAAAUCAGGUUGAGAGAAGAAGAUGAACCAAAAACAGCCUUUACAACCCAUCAAGGGCACUUUCAGUUUCGGGUGUUGCCGUAUGGUGUGACCGGAGGGCCAGCAACAUUCCAAGGAGGGAUGAACACA